CCCCGAAGAGAGGGAUAACAGUUCGAAAGGAUUGCUAAUACCUCAUGUGGUUAUAUGGUUUAGAAGCUUAUAACUAAACGGAUUUAUUCGCUUCGGGAGGGGCCUGCGUCCCAUCAGCUAGUUGGUAAGGUAAUGGCCUACCAAGGCGAUGACGGGUAGGGGACCUGAGAGGGUGGCCCCCCACAAUGGAACUGAAACACGGUCCAUACACCUACGGGUGGCAGCAGUAGGGAAUAUUGGUUAAUGUGGGAAACCGCGAACCAGCAACGCCGCGUGCACGAUGAAGGCCUUCGGGUCGUAAAGUGCUUUUAGAGAGGAUGAGGAAGGACAGUACUCUCUGAAUAAGCCUCGGCUAACUACGUGCCAGCAGCCGCGGUAAAACGUAGGAGGCGAGCGUUAUCCGGAUUUACUGGGCGUAAAGCGCGUGUAGGCGGUCUGACAAGUUGGAUGUGAAAGCUCCUGGCUUAACUGGGAGAGGUCGUUCAAAACUGUUAGACUUGAGAGUGGUAGAGGGAGGUGGAAUUCCGGGUGUAGUGGUGAAAUGCGUAGAUAUCCGGAGGAACACCAGUGGCGAAAGCGGCCUCCUGGACCAUUUCUGACGCUCAGACGCGAAAGCUAAGGUAGCAAACGGGAUUAGAGACCCCGGUAGUCUUAGCUGUAAACGAUGUGAACUAGGUGUCGGUGGGUUCAAAUCCAUCGGUACCGAAGCUAACGCGAUAAGUUCACCGCCUGGGGACUACGGCCGCAAGGUUAAAACUCAAAGGAAUUGACGG
rnacentral:rRNA from 1 species